UAGCCUCACUUUCGAUCAUGUUUUGCUCCACGAUGUGGACGCAACAAGCGGGUUCCUGUGCUGCAUACCCUAUUGCGACGGAAAUUGAUGCCUAUUGUCGUCCCUUCCAACGCGACAUCCUCUUUGGGUGCUCGGUUGGACUAGAUAGUGGGGCUUGCGUUCCUCGAACAUAUCGUUCGGAUGGACCGCAAGUGCCUUACUUGUUCUCUCGGAUGCGGAAAUUUCUUCAUGGGUAUUGGGGUCAUCGGCCCUUUUUCCCAAUCUCAAGCGUUAAACGCUCUUUCGGAAUGACGCUCUCGCCAUGUCUUUGGCCACGUGGAUCUCUCGGGCUUCAUGUUGGCUCAUGCUUGGCGGACGUCGUGAAGGAAUGCUACCUGGUUGAUCCUGCCAGUAGUCAUAUGCUUGUCUCAAAGAUUAAGCCAUGCAUGUGUAACGUAUGAACUAAUUCAGA
rnacentral:misc_RNA from 1 species